UACAGAGGGGGCAAGCGUUGUUCGGAAUUACUGGGCGUAAAGGGCGCGUAGGCGGCCUUCUAAGUCAGACGUGAAAUCCCUCGGCUCAACCGGGGAACUGCGUCUGAUACUGGGAGGCUUGAAUCCGGGAGAGGAAUGCGGAAUUCCAGGUGUAGCGGUGAAAUGCGUUGAUAUCAUCAGGAACACCGGUGGCGAAAGCGGCUUACUGGGUCUCUUCUGACGCUGAGGAACGAAAGCUAGGGUAGCGAACGGG
rnacentral:rRNA from 1 species